ACAUUUAUAUUAAUUUUUAAUUAUAUUAUUUUUCUCUUCAUUACAUUUUUUAAUUGAAAUUUAAUUUUAUUACCAAAAAAAGCAAUUUAGUCUUAUUACAAAAUUAAAAAACAAACGUAAAAUUAAAUUUAAAUUUUUUUUAUAUUUAUUUUUGCGCGACGAAAUCCUUUGUCCCGCAAAGCUCAAGCAAUAAACUAGGUUUCGUCGUGCAAUAAUCAAUUGUCAUCAUGCAAAGUUUAAAGAGACGAAUAACAGUUGUCCCACGUAUGUAUCUUGGUAUUUUGUGCGACGAAAGCAUUCGUUCCUAAACAUUUUGUGCAACAAAGGGUAAACCGCCGCGCCAUGUUUUUGUG
rnacentral:lncRNA from 1 species